UGUCUAGAAUAUUUAGUCGAGAUAUUAAUAAUUGAAUCUGAGUACAUUAAAAUUACAGAAUAAAUUAAUUGACUUACAAGAUAUCACAUGAAUAACGUGAUAAUAUGUUACAAUACAGCGGAAGAGAAUUAAAUUCUAACUUAAUAGAUUAACAUAAUAACAAAGAAGAAGACGAUAGUCUUCUAAUCCGAUAAUCCAAGCUCAACCUCAAUCAUCAGUUCCUACCUGGUCCUUGCUCCGGUUAACCUGUUUACCUAAAAAAAAAUUGGAAGUCGUGGGAUGAGACUACUAAGCCUCAGUGAGCUCCUACUACCCAACUACUGGUGACUACACCGGGACAACUGAAACUAAUAGUUUCUAACUUUANNNNNNNNNNNNNNNNNNNNNNNNNNNNNNNNNNNNNNNNNNNNNNNNNNNNNNNNNNNNNNNNNNNNNAGUUUUCAUAAUUAUGAUAAUAAAGCAAUAAAGGUGUAACACACAUAAUAAUUAUCUUGUCAAUUUUAUCAUAACAGGAUCACCCCGGGGUAAGCAGGUCCCGGAGUGCCUGGCCUGGUAUUACCGAUAAUAAUGUACGUCGGAAUACAACAUGAGCUUACAGUUCUUAUUACAUGAUUUUGGAUUCUGAAUGAAUCCCCUGACAAGGUACUAAUGACCACGCUUCUUGAUAUUGGUACUAAUGACCAAACAUCCUGAUAAAUUCUGAAACAUAAUUUAUAAUCCUGAAUGGUUAUCCUACCCAAAAGAAAGAAAACCUUCCCGGGGUAAUUCUAAUUGUCCUGAUUCCUGAACCUAAGUUCCUGAGCGUGAUAAACAUUCUAAUCACAUAAUAUUAUUACGCUGCUUACGAAAUAUUCUAGAAUAGUCAGGGAUAUAAAACGAGUGGAUUUUUAUUUAAAAUGUUGAUUCUACAGAGUCCUAAUCUGAUACGCUCGCUUAGCGAAGCAAGAUGCUCGCUAUGCGAGAAUACCAGUUCAAUUCUCAGUUUUUACUUUUAAAAGAGUUUAUCAGAUUCCACCUACAAUCUCAUUCAUGUCCAGUCAUAAGCAACUAAAAUAUUAUUAUAUAAUUAGAAUGGAGAUGGUUUUGGGAUUAAACCUUCUCACACAAUUAUUUCCUAAUUUUCCCUAUUGUUGUCAUGCAUAAUUUUGGGGAGACUAAUUUCCUAACUAAUACUAAUGUUAUCAUACAUAUAUUGAAUUCGGGGAAACUAAAGGUGCUAACUAAUCUAAAAGUUAAGCUUCUAAAGGAACCCACCUGCGAUGUCUAGCAAUUCCGAGUUGUUCCACACACUCUUAAGCAUCCGUUGGUGUCGCUCAAAUACGCAACUUCCAUGACUGAUUUUUCUGCAUAAUCAGCUUCAGAACUCCAACUUCAAACACGUCCAUAGAGCUCAUCCCUAAUCCAUAAUUUACAAAUCAGGUGCCGAAACGACGGGAAAAACGUCAGCUUUCCAUAGAAACAGACGGAAUCUCAAUCGGAGUUACAGAGAAAGAGCAGUUACCUUUUUAGUGAGGGUAUAUCCAGGAAUACGGGUUUCAACAUAAGUUCUCUAAAAUCACCAACCCAAUUCUUUAAACUCCAAAACUUUGAAAGCUCUUUCUUAUUUUUCCUGAAUGGUUAAUUGAAAGGUUAUGAACUUGAUCUCCCUCAAACCCACGAGUUUGCAUUUUCUCAAAACACCACGUACAACAAUACAAAAAUUAAGAGAUGGAAUUAAGGCUUAGAGCUCGCUGGACAGAUGAAGAAAUGAGAGAAAACCAAAUCUUGAACCUUACCUCAGUUCCCCAAAAUAUAAGAUGAUGACAAUCUUUUAGUUAUGCUCCAACUCAGUUGCUUCUAUUAAUUCAAGUUUUUGCCCUUUUCUUAGAUUCCUUCAAGCUCCUUAAUUAAUUUCAACCCCUUUUGAUUUUGUUCCAGCUCCACCACAAUUUCCCAAUGUCCUCUUUACACCAUAGAAACUCACAUACAAAUAGUAAAAGUAGGAGCAAUGAAUCUAAUGAGAUUUCCAAACGACUAAAAGGGAAAGAGCAAUCAUUUGAGAGGGAAAACUAGUGAUUCUUACCUUUAUUUGCUCACAUCCAGAACUGAUGGUCUUGUAACAAGAUUCAAGACUCAGGAUUGUUAAAUGCAAGCACUAACCCAUAAGAAAUUGAAGAUGGAUUUUCUGGGUAUUUGACAGAGGCGUGGAGUGAGGGGUGGAAGAGAGAGAGAGCUUGAAUAACUUGUCUUGUUUCUUGAAUUACUAAAAUGAAGGAUAAAGGGGGUGGGUGUUGUUGUUUGCGUGAGGAAUAGAAGAGAGUUUCUUUGUUCUGUUUUCAUGCGUGAAAAGAGAGAGAGAAGACAUUGUGUGUUGUUGUGGUAAUGACUAGAGAAAGAAGGAAUAGACUUGUCUUCCUUUAUAGGUGAGUGGGUCCCUUGACCCUUGUUUUGCUUCUACUUCACGUGGAAGGAUAAGGGAAAUUAAGGGAAGUUUCAAUAAAUUUUGUUUCUUUCAAUUUCUUGGGUUACUAAAGUGUGGUCCCUCCAUGUGUGGUGUUUGAAUCAUAGACAAACUUCCAUUUACUACUCCCAUACACUAUUAAUUAUUAU
rnacentral:lncRNA from 1 species